rnacentral:tRNA from 1 species
GAGCGAUUAGUAUAAGCAAGUACGUUGACUUGUCAUGCCAAAGGUACGCACAGUUUCGCGUAUCGCUCU